CCUACGGGAGGCAGCAGUGGGGAAUAUUGCACAAUGGGGGAAACCCUGAUGCAGCGACGCCGCGUGAGUGAAGAAGUAUUUCGGUAUGUAAAGCUCUAUUAGCAGGGAAGAAAAUGACGGUACCUGAUUAAGAAGCCCCGGCUAACUACGUGCCAGCAGCCGCGGUCAUACGUAGGGGGCAAGCGUUAUCCGGAAUUACUGGGGGUAAAGGGAGCGUAGACGGCAGCACAAGGCUGGAGUGAAAUGCCGGAGCUUAACCCCGGAACUGCUUUGGAUACUGUGCGGCUAGAGUGCAGGAGAGGUAAGUGGAAUUCCGAGUGUAGCGGUGAAAUGCGUAGAUAUUAGGAGGAACACCAGUGGCGAAGGCAGCUUACUGGACUGUAACUGACGUUGAGGCUCGAAAGCGUGGGGAGCAAACAGGAUUAGAUACCCUUGUAGUC
rnacentral:rRNA from 1 species